AACGAACGCUGGCGGCAGGCUUAACACAUGCAAGUCGAACGCCCCGCAAGGGGAGUGGCAGACGGGUGAGUAACGCGUGGGAAUCUACCCAGAACUUCGGAACAACUGAGGGAAACUUCAGCUAAUACCGGACACGCCCUACGGGGGAAAGAUUUAUCGGUUUUGGAUGAGCCCGCGUUGGAUUAGCUAGUUGGUGAGGUAACGGCUCACCAAGGCGACGAUCCAUAGCUGGUCUGAGAGGAUGAUCAGCCACACUGGGACUGAGCACACGGCCCAGACUCCUACGGGAGGCAGCAGUGGGGAAUAUUGGACAAUGGGCGAAAGCCUGAUCCAGCCAUGCCGCGUGAGUGAUGAAGGCCUUAGGGUUGUAAAGCUCUUUCAGUAGGGAAGAUAAUGACGGUACCUACAGAAGAAGCCCCGGCUAACUUCGUGCCAGCCGCCGCCGUAAAAC
rnacentral:rRNA from 1 species